CAACCUUGUGAGUGACGGUGAGUGCAUCUAUAGUAUUCCCUUGGAAAAUUAGCUCCAAGAAUAACUUUUUGCCCAUAUUUCCUCCAUCUGUAACCAUCAUCGAGUGGCCCUUCUACUCCCGUUCCUAAGCAAACCCUGACUUGUUCAGUAAAUCGCUCUUGUGUCUUUCUCUUCUUGAAAACAGUCUUUUGAUCUUGAUCUUGAUCGGAGACAUCAGUCCUUGGGCUAGUAUCCUUGGGAAAGGAAUAAAAUGGUAGGUUGAACCUGAACCCCGAAACCGAAAGCAUCCCAAUUUAGCAUUGAAAGUGCUUUGUCAUAGGAAGAAAGUAUCUUCUCAAUUAGGAAUUGACGCGUUUCAAGUGAUGAUGCAGGGUUAAGAUAGCUCCUGAGCUGUUCUGCUAGCUCCUUCCCUUGGUUUAGUUCAUUGAUGAGAGUCCUCUGUUCCAGUUCCAUUUAGAUAAUAACUCAGAGAAUAAGAUCACAGGCAGUGAAGUGGUGUUAGCUAGGUCCAAGAACCUUCCUGGUGGAUAUAAUAUUAUUCAACGUCAAGAACAGAUAUCAACAAACAUGGAAGUGAAGAGAAUUGCAGAGCUGGGCUUGAAAUAAGAGAACAAUGUCUAUUUGUAGAAGAGGAUAGGUAUUGGGUUUUGCAAGGACAAGAUGAUGACAAGUAGGAAGGUAUUUGUAUGGCAGAAAAGAAAGGGGAAAGGGCUGUGCUUCUUCAGCUGAGAAGCUGGGAGGAAGCUAGGAGUGUGGGAUAUAUAUAUAUAAAAGAAAAAGAAAAAUUG
rnacentral:misc_RNA from 1 species